GCCUGAUGCAGCGACGCCGCGUGAGGGAUGACGGCCUUCUGGUUGUAAACCUCUUUCAGCACGGACGAAACGCUGUGACGGUACCUGUAUAAGAAGGACCGGCCAACUACGUGCCAGCAGCCGCGGUAAUACGUACGGUCCGAGCGUUGUCCAGAAUUACUGGGCGUAAAGACCUCGUAUGUGGUUUGUCCCGUUGUUCGUGAAAACUCACAGCUUAACUGUGGGCGUGCGGGCGAUACAGGCAGACUUGAUUACUGCAGGGGAGACUGGAAUUCCUGGUGUAGCGGUGGAAUGCGCAGAUAUCAGGAGGAACACCGGUGGCGAAGGCGGGUCUCUGGGCAGUAACUGACGCUGAGGAGCGAAAGCGUGGGGAGCGAACAGGAUUAGAUACCCUGGUAGUCCACGCCGUAGACGGUGGGUACUAGGUGUGGGUUUCCUUCCUUGGGAUCCCUGCCGUAGCUAACGCAUUAAGUACCCCGCCUGGGGAGUACGGCCGCAAGGCUAAAACUCAAAAAAAUUGACGGGGGCCCGCACAACCGGCGGAGCAUGUGAAUUAGUUCGAUGCAUCGAUAAUAACCUUACCUGGUUAUGACAUGCACAGGACGUGCCUAGAGAUAUGUAUUC
rnacentral:rRNA from 2 species